rnacentral:rRNA from 1 species
UACGAGAGGCCCAAACGUUAUUCGGAAUUACUGGGCUUAAAGAGUUCGUAGGCGGCAUGAAAAGUUGGGUGUGAAAUACCUCGGCUCAACCGAGGAACUGCGCCCAAAACUAUCGUGCUCGAGGGAGAUAGAGGUGAGCGGAACUUACGGUGGAGCGGUGAAAUGCGUUGAUAUCGUAAGGAACACCCGUGGCGAAAGCGGCUCACUGGGUCUUCUCUGACGCUGAGGCGCGAAAGCUA